UUUUGGUCGGAUGUGCUUUAUAUUCUUAGGCUUUAACCUUUUACAAAGUAGCUACCAUCAUGCCCAUAACAGCAUAUAUAGAACAUUUUGGCUUUUAUGUCAUUCGAAAUUCUCCUGCGAUGUUCCUUGGCGUUCGUUAUCAUAAAAUUCCAACUAUGAAAUGGCGAAUCCUAUCACGCAAUUGUUCAGAAUCUGUCAGCGUUCUCAAAUUUCCACAUCAGCGGAGGACAGAGCCAAAAGGACAAUAGCGAAGUGCCUCAGGUAUAUUUUGUCAAUGUGAAAAGCAUCCGAUGCGGGUUAACUUUUCCCCCCACUUUCGUUCUCAAUUGGAAUGAUUCAAAUCUCGCUGAGAUAUCUUUCAGAUUCACCACCAAUUGAAGGUAAUCUCAUCGCAGGUAGAAUUUUUCUUUUUUUUUGCCGAGCCACUGUGGGUUCGCAUCUUUUAUCUUUGUAUAACAUAUCACAAGUUGCCCAAGGGCUUUUUCUGUGAAAUAGAAAGGAAAAAAAAAAAAAUUAUUCAUCUCAGGUUAGUGGAAUAUGUAUUUAUUGUUGUGCUAAAAAAUUGAAUGAUAUAUAGAAAGAAAAGGAGUUUAAAAUAUCGUAUUUUGGUUGCUUACGGUUUUAGAGAAAAUUGGUUGUUUUACAUUUAAUGAGAAUAGGAAGUUUUGAGUUCAAAUUUUAAUUGGGGCCUCUAGUCUCAUUCAGACUCUGUCCAACUUAUUUUGAAAAUCCAGGUGUUGCAGACAAAAUCGCCCUCAUGCAUGGGGCAAUGUUGACUAAUGUAGAUAGCUACUUCCAAAUCGUGUUUUAGUAGUGUUUUAAGUCGUUAAAGAAAAAAGAAAAAAAAAAAAAAGGAAAGAAAAAAAAAAAGGGUUAGGUCCAUGAAGGAUAAAUUGCAUUGCCACUAACUUGGUAGGUGUAGUCAAGUUUCGUUUUGGUCAUUGGAAUUCAAAGUUUGUCCCUUUGAUGCGUCUCGUAGUGUUAAGAAAAAAAAA